AUGAAACGGUUUUUGGCUUGGUUCGCGGAACCGCGGGGAAGCACGAGACGGUGGGCCGUUUGAAGUGAAUUGAAUAUCUCUCUUCCCCCUCCUCUCUCUCUCAUUGGGAAACUGGGAAAUCAAAAGCCCUAGAGGACUACGAACCAAAUUCAUCUUCAAAUUGUUGAAUUCGAAGUCACUAGGUUACUGGUUUGAACAUUGUAGCGUAUUUUCAAGCUGAAUACCAAGUACCAGAACCAAUGGCACAAGACUGAUCCUGAAUUACCAAAUUCUUGGUACAACGGAAGUUCUAAAUCCAAUUACGCAUAUAGGCACAAUGACAAAGAAUGAUAAAUUUAAGAGACCACU